CCUACGGGCGGCAGCAGUGGGGAAUAUUGCACAAUGGGGGAAACCCUGAUGCAGCGACGCCGCGUGAGGGAAGAAGGAUUUCGGUAUGUAAAGCCCUAUCAGCAGGGAAGAAAAUGACGGUACCUGAGUAAGAAGCCCCGGCUAACUACGUGCCAGCAGCCGCGGUAAUACGUAGGGGGCAAGCGUUAUCCGGAUUUACUGGGUGUAAAGGGGGCGUAGGCGGGGAUGUAAGGCAGGAGUGAAAGCCUGGGGCUCAACCCCCGGACUGCACUUGAAACUGUGAGUCUGGAGUGCAGGAGAGGUAGGUGGAAUUCCUGGUGUAGCGGUGAAAUGCGUAGAGAUUAGGAGGAACACCAGUGGCGAAGGCGGCUUACUGGACUGUAACUGACGUUGAGGCUCGAAAGCGUGGGGAGCAAACAGGAUUAGAUACCCGAGUAGUC
rnacentral:rRNA from 1 species